UCGUACAAAAUGUGUGAGGCAUGCAAGGGCUGUCGCUGACUUUUAAACACAAAAGUCGUGCACGCCAGAGUGUGUCCUCUCACAUAAAAUCCAUCUCACCCCUUUGUGCACCACCGCGUGGGCACCCUCCGGGAUCAUACCGAUCCAGGAGGGGGCUUGCGUUUUCACACAAAACCCCUUUUUAAAAAGUGUAGAAUGACCUCAUUUUUGCGAUAACACGCAAUCAAUA
rnacentral:misc_RNA from 1 species